CAGAGCAUGCACUGAUUUGGUAAGCAAAUGUUUCUUAACCUGCGCGUCAAUCUUGCAUGGAGUCAGGAUGAUGCAGCUAGAAGAAGUCAAUAAUGGGAUCGUUGUGAUACUGCUAACAGAAGUUCUAUAAUUGGUCAAAGAAGAGGCGUGAACAUUAGCAUGGAUGGCGAGAUCGCGAAUGUACUCUAUUCUAAUUGUCAAUGGCCACUUUUGCUUGAGUUUCACCUGUAUAUGGACAGACGAGUUUCUCCUGUAUAUGGUCAGACGACGCAUAAAUAUUUGGUAUGAAUAUC